rnacentral:ncRNA from 1 species
CCUGCCGGAUGCGACGAUGCCGCCUGAUCAGACAGCGAGGUGCGUGCGAGGAACCCGGUGCGAGUCCGGGACGGUCCCGCCACUGUGACCGGGUUACCCACCCGGGAGUCAGGAACUCGGCCCCUCGGCCCCCGACCU